ensembl:lncRNA
GAAUGUAGUUCUUUUUUUGCGCUGUGCGUUGCUAUCUGUAAGAAUGUGUACUGGGACAAGCAGUGAAGUCAAAGUUGCAUGAUAGGAGCUGAAGGUUUUGUUUUUCUGUGGAAUGUAUCUUCUCACAGGAGUACGUACUAUGCAAUGAUGCAAGGAGAAUCAAGUUCCUAUCUCUAGUUUUAAGAAAAGACUUCAUCUUCCACAUUUUCAAAGGUUAUUGAUAACGAGUCAUGACAUCUGUCCCGCCCCAAACUCCCUUCCUGAACAUCUGCUAUUUCAAAUAAAAGUGAGUUCAUCACGUAAUUUCUCAGCAGUAAAGCAGUUAACUCUUAUGACCCAAAAGAAACUAAUUCAAGCAGGUAAACCUAUUAUGUCUGCACUGAUCGGCCCCUAGGAGGCACAAAGCAUUUAAACUGAAUUGACCAAAACUUAUUGAAAAAAGAUUGGAUAAACUGAAAAUCCAUCUAAAUUAAAGAGCAAAUUUCAGAACUAACAUAUCUCAACUGAAAGAGUGCACUUAUGGCCCAGGAAAUAUAAAACAAAACACAAAAUUUUCAUUUUUCAUUAAAAAUUGGAAUGCAAGAUCUAUAUUUAAACAACUUUAUUAACAUAGUCAAGCAGUGAUUAACAUUCACAUCUAUUAUGUCACAUCAUACAAACGUAAAUACAAAAUUACUACAGUACAAUAUAUAUUCUCUGCAUGAUCCAAAAUAUUUGGUGGCCCCAAAAACUCUUUAAAAUUCAGCAGCUUAUCAAAAAUUAAAACCAUAUUCUAUUCAAAAUGAAGUUUUGUUAGCACAGAGGCAGACUUCAAGAAAGAUCACUCAAUUUAGUACAGUUUGAGAAGUUGCAGGAUAUGUUUGAAGGAAACAUUCCAACAUUGUGGCUGAUACAGAAACAUCAGAUUUAAAGCUUUCAAGCAAAACAUACAACCUAAGUUGUCAGCAGAAAGAUCCAGUCAUCUUUCACUUUAAAACUGUUCAUAUACUGCAUCCAAUUUAAGAUUUUGGAAGUGUUUAGUAUUAGUAAGUCAGACAGCAUACAACAUACCUACCUAUCUACUCCCAUGAAAAAAGAUAAUAUUACACUGAAGACUUCACCAGCCAAAUAUACCUAGUCAUACUAAUAUUUUUAAAUAUCCCCAUAAAAAAUCACCCAGGCCUUCUCUGUUUUGUUUCUCACCUAACGUAAGUAAAGAGAUACCUAAGGUGAAAGUAGCACAAUAGAAUUGAUUAUAGAAAAACGAUACUAUAAGUGCUGAAUUCUUAGAGAUGUGGAUUUGGCUUACUUAAAAAGUAUACUGUAACACCACAAAGGGAUACAUAUUUUAUAGAGCCAUUUUAACUUCCCUCACAUACAUACAUUCAAGUGAGUAAGCAUCCUUAUUAUUUUAACAGAAUAUACUCCAUAAGGCAAGCAACAAGAGUACUCACCUCAGAGUUUCCCCAUUUAAAAUAAUCUAAAACUGGCUUGCUCCAACCAUAAGUGCAAAGAACAAGCAUCAGUGACAGACAAAAAACAGCUUCUAUUGGAGAAGAACACCUACUAGACUGAUGGAUGCAAGUCAUCUGGAGAAUGCAUAGGUGAGUGCAAUACACAGCUACUGAUCAAGCUUCAUUUACUCAAGAUGAGGUUACUGGAAAUAUUUAUGUAAUACAUAACAAAUACGUAUGCAAAUUACAUCAGCAUCUAUGUGAGAUAACUGCAAGACUUUUUAUUUUUCUUAUUUUUUAAUUUACGGCAGUCAUUUCACUGCUGAGCUUAACCUUUAUCUGAGAUAAAAAGUUACUCUUCAGACCCUAUAUAGAAGCUUUAUGCAUCUAUUAUCCCCAUGAAAGUACUGAAGCAAUUAGUGUUAAGUUGCAAGUUCUUUCCUUGACAAAAUCUGAAACAAAAGAUUUCCAAUACAAUGUUGCAUUUAAAGCAUUUUUUUAAGAAAUAUUUCAGUUGUUUGAAUAUGGAUGCAUUCUCCUCAAGGGAAGAAUGUUUUUGCACCUUUAUCUGUUAAUACAUUCAAUAUGAAUAAAAUAGGUGAAGCAAAAGUCA